UAUAGCGAAAGUCAGAUAGAGCGGGCAAGGCGCGGAGACAGAAACAAAGUAGUGGGAGCGAGGGAGCGACUGCGAGCAGCGGUGGUGUGAGAAGGGGCGUAUGGCACCCAUUAUCUUGUUUAUUAAAAGCAAGUUUCUUUCCUUCGCUCCCUCCUCCCCAUGCAGCUGACCGCAGAUAUUUCCAAGGGCCUCGCUCUGCUGUUCUGUGCCUACUUCACAGGCAGCUGGAAGGGUCACAGAAGUUGAAACCAGAGGGUGUCAAUCGCCUGUUUCGCUUUGUGACCCACUGGAGGCAUCUCAAAGCCAGAGAGAAGUGUGCAUGUGUACGAGCGGUAUGCGCCUGUUUGCAUGUGCGUGUGUAUAGCUGAGCAUAAUUUAUGUGUGCAUGUGCAUCUAGUGAUGAAGCACCAAUAAAACAAACUAUGAGGAAAGGGAGAGACUGCGCGCACUGUGUGGAAACUGCAAGACCUGCAGCUCCCGACGAAGCUGGAACUCAUCGUUCAGAGAGAACUGCGUCAAGAACAUGUUUAACCAUGCAAACUGUCGGUGGGCCAUCGUCACAUGUCCUGCCCCACCCACGCACGCUGCAGUACAGUAGUCACUCAGCUGAUUACAUGAUUGAGAAUUACUCCGGAGUGGACUUUUGGAAGAGCGGCACAGUUUUUUUGUUUUUUCUUUAGUUUGGUUAGAUACAUGGAAAAACUGAGAAACCUAUCAAUCAGUGGCCACUCGCAACACCUUCUGAGGAGAAAAAGAAGAAGUGCAAGAAGAGGAGAAGGAACAGAGAAAGAGAGAGAGAGAGGAGAAAGACGUCACCAUGCAAUCUGCUCCCUCAGCACAGCGUCUCAGAUGUGGUCUGGCACCUAGUUCACAAAGCCAACCAGAUCCACACAUUGCCUUCAUAUAUCUCUGGAAACGGGGUGAGCGGAGGGCGUGUGAUGGGGAAUGAGAGCAAGAGACAGAAACUGGGAGCGGGUGACAGGGGAGGAGGGGGGAUGGUGGUGCUGGUGGGUGUGUGUGUGUGUGUGUGAGGGGGGCUGAAGAAGAAAGGGAAGAGCAAGUCUUUUGUGUUUACUCACACCGAGUCGCUGCCAGAAACUUUAGACCACAUAAGCGAUUCACUUUUGUCAUCUUUGCUGACCCAGUCCCAUGUAAAAGAUUGAUGAGCGAGAUGAUGAACUAAAAUAAACCAAUCUCACAGUCACUCACACAGACAGACAGCCAGGGAGGCAGGCGAGCAGCCAGGCAGACCCUCUUCAGUGAGCAAAACCAGACCCAGAUUCUCUCUGGCCAAAUCGCUCUCUCUCAUUUUUCCCUUCUUUUUCCUUUUUUUUGUUUUUUCCUCAGUGGUCAUUCAGUAGCAGCCUGCUGCCCUCUUUUGUCAGUGUCAUGGCUGCACUGGACUGUUGUUUUGAUCACAGUAUUGAAAGGCUUCCAGGGAAAAAACUUGGUGGUCAAACUGACGAUCCCCAGUCAAUAAAAUGAAAUCUACAGUUUAAAUGUUGGACACAUUUUCUUCUUUCAGAUCAUUUAACCUGUUAAAAUCUGCUCCUUCGUUUUCUUAAUAUAUUCCUCUCGCUGGAACGAUUACGUAACUAAAUAAAUGAUAUUCUAAGGAACACGAUGCGACUGUGCGCUGCUUCCCCUCACCCUGAAAUGCUCCUCAGCAGUAUGCACAAGCGCAGCUUUUUAUGAAUCCAUAAAAUGAUGUCUUGUUUUAACGAGAAAAGAAAUUCAUUGCUACCGUAAUUGGUAAGUGCCCAAAUCAUUAAGCCCUAAUGCAGGGCAUUUCCUUUGGAGGUAGUUUCCAUUUAAGAGACAAGUGUCUAAUUGGUGAGUUGCUGAAAAGCAAGCGCUACCUCCCCAGAGAUCGUUUCUGAAAUCAUAUAGAGGAUAAUUCCCUUUCAAUUAAAAGCUACAGUAUUCCAGGUUUUGAUUUAAUUGAAUGAGUUUUUUUUUUUUUUUUUCCAAAUGGAGGGGGACUUGGUUGGGGAGGGGUGGCAGCGCCGUGAUUCCAUUAAGGGUGGUGUAAUAUUACGAGGCCAGUGUGAAAAUAUCACUCCGUCUGAGGAAAAUAGAGCAAUAUCAGAAACAGAUUGCUUGAAAAACAGAACACUCCAAAGUAGACGGCGGCUGGUCGGCAUGGGUGCAGAUUGAAUAAACAAUGUUGGGCGCGGAAAGUAUAAUGCUGAAUAAAGAUGACCCGCUGCUGCCAACGCCGCCGCCGCUGCAUUUGAAUAUUAUUGGAAUUAAUUUGUCAGACGAUACCGAACAUUGACUAUUUGUCAGGAGACUGAAGAGAUUUCCCGCAGUUUUCAAAGAAAUGUGUGCGCGCAUGUGUGGAAUGUAGCGAGGGGGAAUUGUUUCUUGGAUAAAUCAUGGUUCAAACAUGGAUGCCAACCCGGGCCUUGCAGCUUUUGGUUUGGUUUUUUUCCCAGCUUCAUUCAUUACAGUGUAAGAAAGGCUAAAAGAGACUUGAUAGUCAAAUUACGAGCCUAUCCUCUGAAAAGUUAUCUUGUUGUCUCGCUUUCUUCUGUCAGCUCUCCUGCUCCCUCUCUCUCUUUCUGCACCCCCCACCCCCCCUCUUCCUCCCUCUCUCUCCCUGGCAGGUGUCACACCCACACUGUGGCCUCUGGGCUGCAGUAGCAGUGCAGCGCGCAGAGAUAAGGGCUGUACGGAGACAAGCGCACAUCCUGUAUGAGGUUAGGGCCCCACUAGCGCAGCACUCCGCUGCAAUGUAUAUUUGUGUGUGUACAAGUGUGUAUGUGUGUGUGUGUGACCGCAGGCUCCUUCCCGUCUCCACGCCAAUGAGGACAGAGCCUGCGGUUGCCAAGCGCAGGUGUGUGUGUGUAUGUGCGGCGACAAAGACAGACCUGAGAAACUCCGCCGUGUUCUGAUCUCAUGGUCGUUUUGAUAAGUCUCUAAGCAAACAAGGUCAGGAGGGGUGAGGCGGCCCUACCGUUAUGACGGCGGUCUACAGAUGUCGUGAUCUCACUGUACUCUUUCAACUCCCCUCACUUGAGGCUCGUCUGCGGUUUUGAGAUGACACUGUUCAAUACAAAGGUUUCUGUCUCUAUUUCAUUGUCAAAUAUCGUCACUGAUCUUUUCGUGCCGCUUGGCACUUUAGGAGGGGGAGGACGCCUGUGAAACUUGUUGGUGGCCCGGGAUUGAAAUUCAAAUCAGAGUCGCAAACCCAUUUGUCAAAGGCAACGUGUGCAUGAGCUGAACUUUGACAGGCAAAAACCAAGUUUGUUCACACUUUCUUCACACAUCUGGGACUGCAAUGCCCUCUCAUGGCUGCACGAGCACACACCCAGAGAGCAGUUUAAAUGGAGAGGGGAAAAAAAAGUGAAAGCAAGCCUCCCGCAAUGUGAGCGAGAUAUUGUGUCGAAUGAGGGUGGACGUGUUCGGGGAGUGGGGGGGAGGGGGUUCACAUGUUGUCAGUAUGGAAAGGAUUUCGAGCCUCCCGCUCUGUACUGUAAAUUGCUCUGCUCUUCAUCCAAGCCGUGCUGCGAGCAAGGGGCGGCUAAUGCGUGCAUCAUCGCCGCCGUUGACGUUCGCACGUGUGUGUGUGUGUAUUUAAAGGAAACCUGUGUUUACCAGCUUUGUGUGAACUUAUGAAUUUAUGUAUGUGCACAUGUGAUAACAAAUUUUCCAAUAUUCCUAAAAGCUGUGAUAUUGCUCGAAACUACUGAAGACUCUGCACGCGUGGCACGCUCGCACGCACACGUGCGCGGCACGCUCGCGCUCACACCGGAUAUCAUCUACAGGCCAUCUCA
rnacentral:lncRNA from 1 species